rnacentral:lncRNA from 1 species
CUAUGGUACGGAUGCAGUCUUGAUUACGUAAGUUAUAUCUGGAUUCACUAAUUCUCGUAGGGAUCAGAGAGUUGAGGUAGCCAGGGACCAGAGAAUGCUGAAUUUUGUAAAACAAUUUUAAUUUAUUAAUAUAACGUCUAUUUUCAAGCGUUCGCAGAUUGGAGAACAGGAAAAUAUUUAUGAGAAAUUAUAACUCAGAAUAUCUGCCAUUGAGAACUACCAAGGAUGGAGUUGGAUGGCAAUUAAAGGAGCUGAAAUCUAGAUGCAAAGAGCACUGUGAUGUGAUUUGUACAGGCCAAGGUGUUCAAGUUUUACAAGCAUACUGAAAUGGUGUUAGACAGACUUUCCACAACAGUGUUAUGGAGAUAAAAUGAAGUAUUCAUUUCUCCAAUACUGAGCAGAUAUAUUGAAUUCAGCAAAUACAAUGCCAUUUCAGCUUGAUAAAUUCUGUAAGGGUGUUGAUGGAUUUGAUUUUGUUUGAUGCAGAAAACGUUAAAAUAUGAACACUGCUUUAGUUUUUGGAAAGAAUUGUUGUGAAGUGGUGAUCUGCCAAGAUGUUCUAGUUCUACUUACAUACAGCAGUGUGACAGCAUAUGUCUUGGGGAAAAACAUCAGGCUGUCAAAACAGAGACCGGAUACUAAAGACUGUGUUCACAGCGCUGUGUGCUUUUUGACAGAACGGAGAUAGACUUUUUACCAUUAAAAAUGAAUAGACUCUGGUGUAUUUUAAAUUUGCAUGUAUUGUUUGUAUGAUGAA